rnacentral:rRNA from 1 species
UACGAAGGGGGCUAGCGUUGCUCGGAAUCACUGGGCGUAAAGCGCACGUAGGCGGCUUUUUAAGUCAGGGGUGAAAUCCUGGAGCUCAACUCCAGAACUGCCUUUGAUACUGGGAAGCUUGAGUCCGGUAGGGGAGUGUGGAAUUCCCGGUGUAGCGGUGAAAUGCGCAGAUAUCGGGAAGAACACCCGUGGCGAAGGCGGCUCUCUGGAACGCAACUGACGCUGAGACGCGAAAGCGUGGGGAGCAAACAGG